ACGGAGGAUGCAAGCGUUAUCCGGAUUCAUUGGGUUUAAAGGGAGCGCAGGCGGAUUAACAAGUCAGUGGUGAAAUCCUACGGCUCAACUGAAGAACUGCCAUUGAAACUGUUAUUCUUGAGUAGAGUUGAGGUAGGCGGAAUGUGGCAUGUAGCGGUGAAAUGCUUAGAUAUGCGGAUGAACACCAGUGGCGAAGGCGGCUUACUGGGCAAUAACUGACGCUGAUGCACGAAAGCGUGGGGAUCAAACAG
rnacentral:rRNA from 1 species